UUUUUUUUUCCCAUUUGCACAAAUAAUGUGUUCUUUCUUCUGAAAAUAAGUUUUAGCAUUUUUGAAAUGCAACAUUUUCUGUUCAUUAACCAUUCACUACACUGAACAUUUUAGUAUAUCCCCUAGAACAUUUUAAUAUACCACCUGACAAGAAGGAGGGAAAACCAGAGCAUUUUAGUAAAAAAGAAAGCACAGAGCAGUUUCCAAUGACUGAAGCAACAAAUGAACACCCGCCUCAGAGCUGCAAGCCUGCAAUGGUGUAAUCUUUCCUGGAGACUGCUGCUACAUUGUACAGUAUAAAGAAAAAAAGACAACACGGGGAAGAUUGUGAACACAAGAUUUUAUCAGCCUAGAUAGGUUGCUGAUUAGAUAGGAAGACCUUUGACUAUAAAUUGUUCCUUUCAGCCCUGCGUGAGUAAUGGACACAAUUCUUCCUUUCUGUGCACCAGCUGAACAGGAAGCCACUCACUUUAUUUCACUUGGUUGAUUCAGAUUCUGCAGAGAGCAGAAGUUGGUCAGAUGUGAGUCAUUCUGUUUGCCUCCUGCUGUCAGCCCCAGGAGGAAAGCCUCUCUGCUGCUGCACCACCUGAACUUCUGAAGAACCACAGUUGUUAAAAAACAUUGAACCUUGGAGACCCAAGACAGUCAAUCCUGAGGUUUCACACAAGACAGAGGAAUAGAGGGACUAACUCCAGAGGGAGCAGUGAGAAGCAAAGGUACUGAUAUGCUGGUAGUGGUCUUCCCACCAGGGUAGAGGCAGACUGACAGCACAGUGUAGGGAAGCUCAUUUUGCAAUUGUUCCCCAGCUCAUCCUCACCGAGCCCGAGCCAUCAGGCCAUGGUCCGUGCACACCACUCCAUCACCAGAAGAUCCAGAUGAAGAGGCCUUCAAACCCAUGCAGCAGAAACGGUGAAUCUGUGAGCAUGGCCAGGGCGCUUCAGGUUCCUACAUGGCAGAAGUCCUACUGCGCAGGUCAGCAGUUCUGCUGGCUGACAGUCAAGACCACCUCCAAUUACCUGCGAGACAACCAAGUGUGCAGAAAGAAGGUGGGUUGCAAAGGUCUCAGCUGCACUUCUGACUGUCCUGCAAGGGGUGUAUGAACAUCACUAAAGAAGUCCAAAAGCAUAUGGGACUUAACCAGCUGGU
rnacentral:lncRNA from 1 species